rnacentral:rRNA from 1 species
UACGAAGGGGGCUAGCGUUGUUCGGAAUCACUGGGCGUAAAGAGCGCGUAGGCGGUGAUGUAAGUCAGAGGUGAAAUCCCGGAGCUCAACUUCGGAAUUGCCUUUGAAACUGCGUCGCUGGAGUCUUGAAGGGGGUGGUGGAAUUUCUAGUGUAGGGGUGAAAUCCGUAGAUAUUAGAAGGAACACCAGUGGCGAAGGCGGCCACCUGGUCAAGUACUGACGCUGAGGCGCGAAAGCGUGGGGAUCAAACAGG